rfam:Pluralibacter gergoviae strain JS81F13 contig_10, whole genome shotgun sequence.
GACCGACAUCAGGGAUUCGUUCUGCGAGCCGUUGCCCACCGCCAGGUAGGAGUGCAUCCCCAGCUCUUUCAUCUGCUGCUCGCCGAUAACGCGGGUCACCACAUUCUGGCUGUAGCUGUCCGCCAACUGGCGCGCCUGGGAGGCCAGAUAGGCCGCGUUGCAGAUGUUCGGCGGCAUAUUGCCGAGAUCUUUCGC